rnacentral:rRNA from 1 species
UGCCAGCAGCCGCGGUAAUACGAGGGGUGCUAGCGUUGUCCGGAAUCAUUGGGCGUAAAGGGUCCGUAGGCGGUUUAACAAGUCGAUUGUUAAAGACAUCGGCUUAGCCGAUGGAGUGCAGUUGGAACUGUUAGAAUAGAGUUUAGGAGAGGAAAGUGGAAUUUCUGGUGUAGCGGUGACAUGCGUAGAUAUCAGAAGGAACACCAAUGGCGAAGGCAACUUUCUGGCCUAAAACUGACGCUGAGGGACGAAAGCGUGGGGAGCGAACAGGAUUAGAUA